CUCAGGGACUCAUUCACUCAUUUAUUCAAGCAAUUAAAAGGGCUUUAAUUUGGUGGGGUUGCAAACGGAUUUAAGUUCUUUUAUUGGCUGAUAGUUUUUGACUCGAACGGGUAUGCUGGUUGGAAUACUUUAAUGAUAAUUACUCUUGUUUCGAUUUGUAAUCAGAAGCUGUGCAUGCCAGCUGAGAGAUUUAAUGGGAUGAAGGUGAAGGUAAG
rnacentral:lncRNA from 1 species